rnacentral:rRNA from 1 species
AGCGAACGCUGGCGGCAGGCCUAACACAUGCAAGUCGAACGGACCCUUCGGGGUUAGUGGCGGACGGGUGAGUAACACGUGGGAACGUGCCUUUAGGUUCGGAAUAGCUCCUGGAAACGGGUGGUAAUGCCGAAUGUGCCCUUUGGGGGAAAGAUUUAUCGCCUUUAGAGCGGCCCGCGUCUGAUUAGCUAGUUGGUGAGGUAAUGGCUCACCAAGGCGACGAUUAGUAGCUGGUCUGAGAGGAUGACCAGCCACAUUGGGACUGAGACACGGCCCAAACUCCUACGGGAGGCAGCAGUGGGGAAUCUUGCGCAAUGGGCGAAAGCCUGACGCAGCCAUGCCGCGUGGAUGAUGAAGGUCUUAGGAUUGUAAAAUCCUUUCACCGGUGAAGAUAAUGACUGUAGCCGGAGAAGAAGCCCCGGCUAACUUCGUGCCAGCAGCCGCAGUAAGAC